GAUGAACGCUGGCGGCGUGCUUAACACAUGCAAGUCGAACGGAAAGGCCCAAGCUUGCUUGGGUACUCGAGUGGCGAACGGGUGAGUAACACGUGGGUGAUCUGCCCUGCACUUCGGGAUAAGCCUGGGAAACUGGGUCUAAUACCGGAUAGGACGAUGGUUUGGAUGCCAUUGUGGAAAGUUUUUUCGGUGUGGGAUGAGCUCGCGGCCUAUCAGCUUGUUGGUGGGGUAAUGGCCUACCAAGGCGUCGACGGGUAGCCGGCCUGAGAGGGUGUACGGCCACAUUGGGACUGAGAUACGGCCCAGACGCCUACGGGAGGCAGCAGUGGGGAAGAUUGCACAAUGGGCGCAAGCCUGAUGCAGCGACGCCGCGGGGGGGAGGACGGCCUUCGGGUUGUAAACUCCUUUCGCUAGGGACGAAGCGUUUUGUGACGGUACCUGGAGAAGAAGCACCGGCUAACUACGUG
rnacentral:rRNA from 1 species